GAUCUCACAUUGGUUGGAGAGGGGAACGAAACAUUUCUUAUAAGGGUAUAAAAAUCUUUCUCCAAUUGAUGCGUUUUAGAAAGCUUGAGGGGAAAUCCGAGAGGGAAACUAAAAGAGGACAAUAUUUGCUAACGUCGGGCUUGGACUGUUACAAAUGGUAUCGAGUCA